CAGCAGGAACAUGGGCAACUAUUCCCUGCACAAGCUGUGCUUUUGCCUUUUCACAUCUUAUUUCCAUCCUCUCCCUCCCCCGGGCGUUUCCCGCAGCUGGAUGGUUGUUGGUACCAAAGGCAGCAGGUGUGGUGGAGGAGAAGGAAAAGACCUGAUUGCUGUGGAGCAAAUUCCCCAUCCAUGGCAUCAUCCAGUUAAUAGAGUAGUUGGAUCUGCUGGAGGCAAGUUCAUCAAAUGUGGGAUGCACAAUGAAUCCACUCUGGGCUCUGUCUCUGAUUCACCAUGUGCCAUGAAUCCAGCAAUUUGCUGCUGCUUGAAGCCUUCCUGACUUCCCUGGCAUUGGCAGGAAGGUCCAUGGUCACCCUGUGGAAGCAGGAGACCUGUGUUUAUCUAAACUUGAUACUGAGAGCAGGAGUUGGAGGUUAUGGAUGGCUUCAUUCCUUCCAGUUGUGUAUUUAAGAGGCAUUUUCCUCAGCAAAUGGAUGCUGUAAAGAACUGACUGGAUGGUGCUGAGAGCAUCUGCAGGAUUUCUGGAACCUCACGAGUUUGAAAAGUAUUUCCUCUUGGUGCCAGAAAAAAAUAUUUUCCCCUUGAUCUUAAGGAAGGCUGAACUCUUUCUGCUAAGUUAAAAGGCAAUCCUUAGGCACAAAACCAAGGAUGUUUAAAGUUUGGCAAAGGCACCAGACUUUGUUACGUGCCUUGAAAUAUCUGCAUCUGUCCUGUCCCCUCCUGCACAUCCACUCCCAAGCCUGCAGGAAAACACAUCCUAAAGCUCUGCCGUGGACCCACAACCAGGCAGCAAAUAAAAUGCUCCCACAGGACAGAUUUCAUCAGGAUUUAAGGUAAUCACAGCUCUCAGGCUUGUGAUUCUGAAAUGUCUCCUGUCAGCAGUGCUGGAAGGAGAAGCACUUGGCAAAGAGCUGCCAGGACAGCUGCCUGAACCUCAACCCCACAGCUCCUCUGCUGUGCUGCUCGUUGCUUGGAUCAGAUUCUAAAAUCUGAUUUUUCACCCCCAGUCAUUCCCUACUGCUGGGUGCAGCAGGAUUAUUUCUGCUUCUCCUAGGAAAAGAGCCAAUUGCCAGCGACCUCUCAGCUUAGUCUGCCUCAGUAAAGAGGAGUCUGGCAUUUGGCUCGUGCUUGCUUGUUAUUUUGACAGCACAUCCCUUCCUUUUGCACUGCUUGGAUCAAUCUCUACUUCAGGGCUGGGCCAAAAAAAGUGGAAAAAUGGCCAAUUUGCAGGAAAAAAAAUAAAUUAAUCCAUUGCUGUCAGCCAAGUGUUUUGUCACCUUGCAUCAAGAAGGGCAAAGGAUUCACAGCCAGGACACAGCUGAGUUUUGGCCACAGUGCUGGGCACAA